CGGCGUGCUAACACAUGCAAGUCGAACGCCCUUUAAGAGGUGAUCACUUCGAUUGUCGGUUCCUAUGACGAGUGGCGGACGGCUGAGUAACGCGUGGGAAUCUGCCCCAGAGUGAGGGAUAACGCCCAGAAAGGUGUGCUAAUACCGCAUAUGAUCUUCGGAUUAAAGCCUUCGGGCCGCUUUGGGAGGAGCCUGCGUCCUAUUAGAUAGUUGGUGAGGUAAAGGCUCACCAAGUCAACGAUGGUUAGCUGGUCUGAGAGGAUGACCAGCCAGACUGGAACUGAGACACGGUCCAGACUCCUACGGGAGGCAGCAGUAAGGAAUCUUCCACAAUGGGCGAAAGCCUGAUCCAGCAACGCCGCGUGCAGGAUGAAGGCCCUCGGGUCGUAAACUGCUUUUAUUAGUGAAGAAUAUGACGGUAACUAAUGAAUAAGGACCGGCUAACUACGUGCCAGCAGCCGCGGUCAUACGUAGGAUCCAAGCGUUAUCAGGAGUGACUGGGCGUAAAGAGUUGCGUA
rnacentral:rRNA from 1 species